rnacentral:tRNA from 1 species
GGGCCGGUAGUCUAGCCUGGAAGGAUGCCCGCUUGGCAUGCGGGAGAUCCCGGUCGCGGGUCAACCGCGGGGAAAGUUCAAGUCCCGGCCGGUCCACCA